rnacentral:rRNA from 1 species
AUUGAACGCUGGCGGCAUGCUUUACACAUGCAAGUCGAACGGUAACAGGCCGCAAGGUGCUGACGAGUGGCGAACGGGUGAGUAAUGCAUCGGAACGUGCCCAGUCGUGGGGAUAACUACUCGAAAGAGUAGCUAAUACCGCAUACGAUCUAUGGAUGAAAGCGGGGGACCGUAAGGCCUCGCGCGAUUGGAGCGGCCGAUGUCAGAUUAGGUAGUUGGUGGGGUAAAGGCUCACCAAGCCAACGAUCUGUAGCUGGUCUGAGAGGACGACCAGCCACACUGGGACUGAGACACGGCCCAGACUCCUACGGGAGGCAGCAGUGGGGAAUUUUGGACAAUGGGCGCAAGCCUGAUCCAGCAAUGCCGCGUGCAGGAAGAAGGCCUUCGGGUUGUAAACUGCUUUUGUACGGAACGAAACGGCCCUGGUUAAUACCCGGGGCUAAUGACGGUACCGUAAGAAUAAGCACCGGCUAACUACGUG